GCAGAGACAGUUUGGGGCAUGGAUGGCAGAAGCAGUUUGGAGCAUCAAUGGCAGAGGCAGAUCGUAACUGCAUCCCAUCAAAGCAAACCUGCCUACUUUUGAAAAAUAGAAUCAGGGAUAUUACAGUAGGAUGUGCCACGUAAAGCGUGUUGUGUCAUCGAGUGAGCGUGUCAUACUCUGCCCAAAGGGACUUUACAUACUGUAUACAGAUGAGCAGGCGGUGAGAUUCCGAGAGUUCCCCCGGUAGGGAGAACAAGGAGUGUAUGGAGGUGAGGAUGUUGCCCAGGUGAACUGAGAAGCCCUCUGCUUUUAGUCAUGCCUUAAAUCCUGCCUUCACGUCUAAGAAACACACUGACAGACGUGGUGUGACUUGCAAACCAGAAAUUAUCUCAGGAGACGACUGAAUAGAUAAUUCUAGGUCUUCUGACGAGAUGAGUUCGGCUGAAGGGUUUGCUGAUACUGAAGAAGAACAAAAAGAUUGUUAAUGGAGAAUAUGAAGUCUUAAAUUGUACAAGUCCACUUGGAGUAACACCUUCCCUUUGGACGGCUCUCUGGAAGCCAGAUGACGACAUCUGCGCUGACCUAAUAGUUAUUGACAAAAUAUUUCCACUCUGACAUACUUUACACAGUCAUGAGUGGAGAGUGAACAGGUGGAACAUGGGAAGGCUGCCCUGUAAGCUGUCCUACUUAGUAAAUAUG